AUUGAGCGCUGGCGGCAGGCCUAACACAUGCAAGUCGAGCGGAUGAAGGGAGCUUGCUCCUGGAUUCAGCGGCGGACGGGUGAGUAAUGCCUAGGAAUCUGCCUGGUAGUGGGGGAUAACGUCCGGAAACGGGCGCUAAUACCGCAUACGUCCUGAGGGAGAAAGUGGGGGAUCUUCGGACCUCACGCUAUCAGAUGAGCCUAGGUCGGAUUAGCUAGUUGGUGGGGUAAAGGCCUACCAAGGCGACGAUCCGUAACUGGUCUGAGGGGAUGAUCAGUCACACUGGAACUGAGACACGGUCCAGACUCCUACGGGAGGCAGCAGUGGGGAAUAUUGGUCAAUGGGCGAAAGCCUGAUCCAGCCAUGCCGCGUGUGUGAAUAAGGUCUUCGGAUUGUAAAGCACUUUAAGUUGGGAGGAAGGGCAGUAAGUUAAUACCUUGCUGUUUUGACGUUACCAACAGAAUAAGCACCGGCUAACUUCGUG
rnacentral:rRNA from 1 species